rnacentral:rRNA from 1 species
AUUGAACGCUGGCGGCAGGCUUAACACAUGCAAGUCGAGCGGGGUGAUGGUGCUUGCACUAUCACUUAGCGGCGGACGGGUGAGUAAUGCUUAGGAAUCUGCCUAUUAGUGGGGGACAACAUCUCGAAAGGGAUGCUAAUACCGCAUACGUCCUACGGGAGAAAGCAGGGGAUCACUUGUGACCUUGCGCUAAUAGAUGAGCCUAAGUCGGAUUAGCUAGUUGGUGGGGUACAGGCCUACCAAGGCGACGAUCUGUAGCGGGUUUGAGAGGAUGAUCCGCCACACUGGGACUGAGACACGGCCCAGACUCCUACGGGAGGCAGCAGUGGGGAAUAUUGGACAAUGGGGGGAACCCUGAUCCAGCCAUGCCGCGUGUGUGAAGAAGGCCUUAUGGUUGUAAAGCACUUUAAGCGAGGAGGAGGCUCUUUUGGUUAAUACCCAAGAUGAGUGGACGUUACUCGCAGAAUAAGCACCGGCUAACUCUGUGCCAGCCGCCGCCGUAA